rnacentral:rRNA from 1 species
GAUGAACGCUGGCGGCGUGCCUAAUACAUGCAAGUCGAGCGAACAGACGAGGAGCUUACUCCUCUGACGUUAGCGGCGGACGGGUGAGUAACACGUGGAUAACCUACCUAUAAGACUGGUAUAACUUCGGGAAACCGGAGCUAAUACCGGAUAACAUGUUGAACCGCAUGGUUCAACAGUGAAAGACGGUCUUGCUGUCACUUAUAGAUGGAUCCGCGUCGCAUUAGCUAGUUGGUAAGGUAACGGCUUACCAAGGCAACGAUGCGUAGCCGACCUGAGAGGGUGAUCGGCCACACUGGAACUGAGACACGGUCCAGACUCCUACGGGAGGCAGCAGUAGGGAAUCUUCCGCAAUGGGCGAAAGCCUGACGGAGCAACGCCGCGUGAGUGAAGAAGGUCUUCGGAUCGUAAAACUCUGUUAUUAGGGAAGAACAAAUGUGUAAGUAACUAUGCACGUCUUGACGGUACCUAAUCAGAAAGCCACGGCUAACUACGUG